AUGUGGCCUAUUUCUAAAAAACCUAGGCCAGAAGCUCCUGAUUAUGUUAAAGUUAGAAUGCGAGGCAGGCCCAAGAAAAAUGCUAGGAGGAGGGAAGACCAUGAGAAACUAGUUGGGAAAAAAAUGAGCAAACAUGGCAUUGUUAUUGUUUGUUCAAUGUGUGGCACUGCAGGCCACAACAAGUCUGGUUGCAACAAGAAUCCAGAAAGGGCAAGAAAAAAAUGCACAUCUUGUGAAGCUAGCCAACACUACAAAAAAAAGACACAUCCAUGA
rnacentral:rRNA from 1 species